UGGGGAAUAUUGCACAAUGGGCGAAAGCCUGAUGCAGCGACGCCGCGUGAGGGAUGACGGCCUUCGGGUUGUAAACCUCUUUCAGUAGGGACGAAGCGCAAGUGACGGUACCUGCAGAAGAAGCACCGGCUAACUACGUGCCAGCAGCCGCGGUAAUACGUAGGGUGCGAGCGUUGUCCGGAAUUACUGGGCGUAAAGAGCUCGUAGGCGGUUUGUCACGUCGACUGUGAAAUCCUAGGGCUUAACCCUGGACGUGCAGGCGAUACGGGCUGACUUGAGUACUACAGGGGAGACUGGAAUUUCUGGUGUAGCGGUGGAAUGCACAGAUAUCAGGAAGAACACCGAUGGCGAAGGCAGGUCUCUGGGUAGUAACUGACGCUGAGGAGCGAAAGCAUGGGUAGCGAACAGG
rnacentral:rRNA from 1 species